rnacentral:rRNA from 1 species
GACGAGCGCUGGCGGCGUGCUUAAAAACAUGCAAGUCGAACGGACUUCUCAUGAAGCUUGCGAUUGAGAAGUUAGUGGCGGACGGGUGAGUAACGCGUGGGCAACCUGCCCCUGAGCCCGGGAUAACAGUUCGAAAGGACUGCUAAGACCGGAUAUACUUGCGGUGAAGCAUUUCACUGCAAGGAAAGGGAACGCUCAGGGAUGGGCCCGCGUCCCAUUAGCUAGUUGGUGAGGUAACGGCCCACCAAGGCGACGAUGGGUAGCCGGCCUGAGAGGGUGAACGGCCACACUGGGACUGAGACACGGCCCAGACUCCUACGGGAGGCAGCAGUUGGGAAUCUUCGGCAAUGGGCGCAAGCCUGACCGAGCAACGCCGCGUGAGUGAUGAAGGUUUUCGGAUUGUAAAGCUCUGUCUUCCGGGACGAUAAUGACGGUACCGGAGGAGGAAGCCACGGCUAACUACGUG